rnacentral:rRNA from 1 species
GCAUUAGUGUUAAGGUAGCAUAGUAAUUAGUUUUUUAAUUGGAAAAUGGAAUGAAUGGCUCCACUAAAGCAUAGUAUUUAUACUAAAAAAUGAAAUUUUAAUUUAAGUGAAAAUACUUAAAUGAUAUAUUUAGACGAGAAGACCCUAUGAAGCUGGUAGACCAUAAGUGUAAUUAUUUCAUAGUAGCAGGUCUAUUUUUUGGGGUAAAAUUUAAUAAUUAUAUUAAUACAGAUUUGUUCAAACUUAUCCUUCUGGAAUUAUGAAUAAGCUCCUCUAGGGAUAACAGCAUUAUGCUUAAAAGAGUUCUUAUCAGAAUAAGCGUUUGUGACCUCGAUGUUGAAUA